UACGUAGGGUGCGAGCGUUGUCCGGAAUUAUUGGGCGUAAAGAGUUCGUAGGCGGUGUGUCACGUCGUUCGUGAAAACCUGCAGCUUAACUGUGGGCGUGCGGUCGAUACGGGCAUCACUGGAGUUCGGCAGGGGAGACUGGAAUUCCUGGUGUAGCGGUGAAAUGCGCAGAUAUCAGGAGGAACACCGGUGGCGAAGGCGGGUCUCUGGGCCGAUACUGACGCUGAGGAGCGAAGGCGUGGGGAGCGAACAGG
rnacentral:rRNA from 1 species